rnacentral:rRNA from 1 species
GCCUUACACAUGCAAGUCGAACGGCAGCACGGGAGCUUGCUCCUGGUGGCGAGUGGCGAACGGGUGAGUAAUACAUCGGAACGUACCCUGAAGUGGGGGAUAACGUAGCGAAAGUUACGCUAAUACCGCAUAUUCUGUGAGCAGGAAAGAGGGGGAUCGCAAGACCUCUUGCUUUAGGAGCGGCCGAUGUCGGAUUAGCUGGUUGGUGAGGUAAAGGCUCACCAAGGCGACGAUCCGUAGCGGGUCUGAGAGGAUGAUCCGCCACACUGGGACUGAGACACGGCCCAGACUCCUACGGGAGGCAGCAGUGGGGAAUUUUGGACAAUGGGCGCAAGCCUGAUCCAGCCAUGCCGCGUGAGUGAAGAAGGCCUUCGGGUUGUAAAGCUCUUUCGGUGGGGAAGAAAUUGCUUCGGUUAAUACCUGGAGUAGAUGACGGUACCCGCACAAGAAGCACCGGCUAACUACGUGCCAGCAGCCGCGGUAAUACGUAGGGUGCGAGCGUUAAUCGGAAUUACUGGGCGUAAAGCGUGCGCAGGCGGUUGUAUAAGUCAGAUGUGAAAUCCCCGGGCUCAACCUGGGAACUGCAUUUG